AUGUGGGUUCAGAACGGCAUAACGAGGCAAGGUAUUUGGGUUUCGGACGUCUGUAAUCGCCGACUGCCCUUGGCGCGGCGGCGGCUAGGUUUUGGAAUUGGGAGCUUGCGAGUGAACUUGAUAGAAAAGGUAAAGAAGGCAGGUUUAAAGGGAUGUCAAGAAUCACAAUGCCAGUACGACGUCGUUCUACCUUUUCUUCAGUUUUUUUAUUUCAUUUUUAUAUCAGUUUCACUGAUUUAUGAAUUUUGGUACGUUGGGCCCUCCCAUGGUACUUUGACCCAAUGA